rnacentral:rRNA from 1 species
UCGGGAAUCUUGGGCAAUGGGGGCAACCCUGACCCAGCAACGCCGCGUGAGGGAUGAAGGCCUUCGGGUCGUAAACCUCUGUCGGGAGGGAAGAAAGGUCUCCGUUCGAAUAGGGCGGGGGCUUGACGGUACCUCCAAAGGAAGCGCCGGCUAACUCCGUGCCAGCAGCCGCGGUAAUACGGAGGGCGCGAGCGUUGUUCGGAAUCAUUGGGCGUAAAGCGCGUGUAGGCGGCUUGGCAAGUCGGGUGUGAAAGCCCGGGGCUCAACCCCGGAACUGCACUCGAAACUGCCUCGCUCGAGUCCCGGAGAGGAAGGCAGAAUUCCCGGUGUAGGGGUGAAAUCCGUAGAUAUCGGGAGGAAUACCAGUGGCGAAGGCGGCCUUCUGGACGGUGACUGACGCUGAGACGCGAAAGCGUGGGGAGCAAACAGGAUUAGAUACCCCUGUAGUCC